CGCCGGCAUAUGACCUAUAUUACAAGGAAGCCGAACCUCCAGGUAGGUGUGUGCUGUACUGUCGCGACAUAUUCCAGAAAAGCUGUCUUGACAAGAUAUAUUUUGCAGUCUAAAUCAGCGCAAUACAUACAAUGGACGCCUUCCCCAAAUGUUCUGUCUGCCAGCAGCAGUUUACCCUGAAGGGCCCCGCCCCCUACCUACUGCCCUGUCUACACGCUGUGUGUGAGACGUGUGUGACAUCUGCAGCUGCCGGUGUGAUAUCAUGCUCCACGUGUCAGAGGGAGGUCAACCUCAAAGAAACAACCCUCCAGCAGGAUGCAGUGAGACAGAAGGAAAUAUUACACCUGACGGUCAAACAUCGCCCCACAGAGCUUCUCUGUACACACGAAGAUGACGGCAACCAGGCUGUGUGUUGGUGCCCAGAGUGUGAAGAGUUACUCUGUGAAUACUGCCAGAACAUGCACAACAGUUUCAAAGCUACCAGACGACAUGUUGUUGAAACCAUUGUGGACACGGCACCGGGAAGCAUGAAGGCUGAACCAGUUUGCAAACUUCACAAUCGUUAUCCUCUGGAAUAUUUUGACAAAAACUGUAACAUUUUAAUCUGUACAAAAUGCAGGCUUGGCGACCAUGCUGAACACGACGUUGAGGAUUUAGACGUAGCUUCUGAUGCUGCUGAAAGGCGGAUAAAACAACAUGGGAAGAACGUGACUGCACAUCAUACGUCUCACCAAGCAUAUCUGAAGAGCAUCAGCAAAGUCAUCAAUGACACAAAGAAGAAAAGCAGUGCUGUGAAGGAGACGAUCCACCACACAUUCCGUUCUCUCUGAGGACACAACUCGAUCAAAGAGAGACGGAUCUGAUCAUCGAUCUUGACAAUCAGACGAAGCAGAAACUGUCAAAUCUACACAUAGAGCAGGUUACCUCUGAAGGCGAGAGUGAACGAUGCAAGUGGACCUCAGACUACAUCAAGACAGUACUCAGAUAUGCUUCGAACUCGGACUUUCUGACACUGGAGAGUUCAAUACAAGAAACAACGAAGACUUACCUCAGAUCAGUUCCACAAGAGCUGCACUGUUCACCUGCAGCCGCAUUCAACAUGAGAGGACUGGAGAAAUUGAAAUCCGACAUUUCUGAGUUUGGGUCUCUCGUUAGAGAUGGAUCAACAUCUGAUGAACACACUCUGACAGACAGAGGUACACAGACAGAUGAUAUCCAUCUACCUGACCCGGAGAACACACUCACGCAUCUGAAGCUUCCGGAGGCUGCUAACGAUCCAGCACCACUAACACAGUUUGGUGAGAUUUUUAGAUUACUUUGCAAAACGUAACGAGGGAAAACAUCGUUACCAUGCGGGGACUAAAACCUACAGUCUGGAAACAGGAACAGGGACCAAGUUGACACUGCAGUGUGAGUAUAAUCAGUUACUUGCUU
rnacentral:misc_RNA from 1 species